UACGUAGGGUGCGAGCGUUAAUCGGAAUUACUGGGCGUAAAGCGUGCGCAGGCGGUGAGCUGUGUCCGAUGUGAAAGCCCCGGGCUUAACCUGGGAAUGGCAUUGGAAACUGGCUCGCUGGAGUGUGGCAGAGGGGGGUGGAAUUCCGCGUGUAGCAGUGAAAUGCGUAGAGAUGCGGAGGAACACCGAUGGCGAAGGCAGCCCCCUGGGCUAACACUGACGCCGAUGAGCGAAAGCCAGGGGAGCAAACGGG
rnacentral:rRNA from 1 species